rnacentral:rRNA from 1 species
GGAAUUUUCGGAUGAUGCUGAGCGGCGGACGGGUGAGUAACGCGUGGGUACCUGCCUCAUACAGGGGGAUAACAGUUAGAAAUGACUGCUAAUACCGCAUAAGACCGCAUGGUAAAAACUCCGGUGGUAUGAGAUGGACCCGCGUCUGAUUAGCUAGUUGGUAAGGUAACGGCUUACCAAGGCGACGAUCAGUAGCCGACCUGAGAGGGUGACCGGCCACAUUGGGACUGAGACACGGCCCAAACUCCUACGGGAGGCAGCAGUGGGGAAUAUUGCACAAUGGGGGAAACCCUGAUGCAGCGACGCCGCGUGAGGAAGAAGUAUUUCGGUAUGUAAACUCUAUCAGCAGGGAAGAAAAUGACGGUACCUGACUAAGAAGCACCGGCUAAAUACGUGCCAGCAGCCGCGGUAAUACGUAUGGUGCAAGCGUUAUCCGGAUUUACUGGGUGUAAAGGGAGCGUAGACGGAUGGGCAAGUCUGAUGUAAAAACCCGGGGCUCAACCCGGGACUGCAUUGGAAACUGUUCAUCUAGAGUGCUGGAGAGGUAAGUGGAAUUCCUAGUGUAGCGGUGAAAUGCGUAGAUAUUAGGAGGAACACCAGUGGCGAAGGCGGCUUACUGGACAGUAACUGACGUU